rnacentral:rRNA from 1 species
GGCUCAGGAUGAACGCUAGCGGCAGGCCUAACACAUGCAAGUCGAGGGGUAUUAGGAGCUUGCUCCUAAGAGACCGGCGCACGGGUGCGUAACGCGUAUGCAAUCUACCUUGUACAGGGGAAUAGCCCAGAGAAAUUUGGAUUAAUGCCCCAUAGUAUAAUUGAAUCGCAUGGUUUAAUUAUUAAAGUUCCAACGGUACAAGAUGAGCAUGCGUCCCAUUAGCUAGUUGGUAUGGUAACGGCAUACCAAGGCUACGAUGGGUAGGGGUCCUGAGAGGGAGAUCCCCCACACUGGUACUGAGACACGGACCAGACUCCUACGGGAGGCAGCAGUGAGGAAUAUUGGUCAAUGGUCGGAAGACUGAACCAGCCAUGCCGCGUGCAGGAAGACGGUCCUAUGGAUUGUAAACUGCUUUAUACAGGAAGAAACCCUCUCACGAGUGGGAGCUUGACGGUACUGUAUGAAUAAGCAUCGGCUAACUCCGUG